CUCUGUUUUCCAGUAGAACACCAAUAGCAGGAGUGCAAGAAUGACGUUCUGUCUGCUGGGAGCCUCGUUAGGUCAUCAUUAUCCCUAGCCUGGAUUAGACAGAUGUGUUUCUAAAACGUACAUCUGCGCAAAACCCUUCAGUGGUCCCUCUUUUUACUCAGGUCGCUCUUUUUACUCAGUCAAACUCCUUUAUGUCGCUUCCAAGGCCCUGCAUGAUCUGGCCCCAACUUCUUCUGUCCUUACCCCCCAUCUUCUUCAACCUUCAUCUAGACCGAAAUACCACUCAGUGUAAUAAAAGGGCUGACCCUCUUGCCUACAAGUCUCCAGAUAUGCUCUACCCAUUUUUUCUGGUAGAGACAACUCCUAUUAAUUCUUCAGCUCUUGGCUGAUAGAUUGCCUGCUUGAUUCAUUAACUUGUUCACUCAUCCCCGUUCUAGUUGCCAGGAACUACCCUGAGUGCUGAGGAACAGUGAACAAGACAGACCCGGCCUGCCCUCCCCCGCCCCGCAUCUGUCUCCUCCGUGUUGUCUUCCCUCACCAGCCUCACCUCCAGGCUGAAUUAGUUGUCUCUCCUCUGGGUCCCCUGGCUCUCUGUAAAACUGCUAGUGUUGCCUUAUCACAGUUUUAAUGACACUUAACCUGUCUCUCCCCGCUGCUAGCCUAUGGGCUAUUUGUUGAAUGCAUCUAUGACUCCUCAAAGUACUCUGCUAAGGGUAAUUAAAAGGAAUAGGAUGUUAUGAAUUAGAUGAAAAAUAAAAAUCAAACACUAUUGGAA
ensembl:lncRNA novel transcript